AGCAUCCCUGUCCUGGGGCACAUGGGAACUAGAGGAGCAAUCGGUGCAGAAGUAAGUCCUGCUUCCAACACGGUUCAUCGGCGCUGCACCCUGAGCCUUCACUACACGUCUCUUAUCAGUAUCAGCUCAGGGCAAGUACUGUCACAAAUAAACAAGGAUGAUCGGAGAGAUUAGAUAACUAGUUCAGGGUCACCGAGAUAACAGCCCCCAGGUGGCAGUUCCACUUCCUUUCUGGAACUUACAUAGCCAGAGGUACUGCUCAACCUAGUUCCAGCUGAAAGAGGUUCUGGUCCUUCAGAAAUGCACGGAUUGGGCUGUACUAAGCAGUAAGCCAGGCAGUAAAACCCAGGCUCUAGAGCAGAAGGCAGCUGCUAGGGGAACUGUGCUCUCUUCCACCACCUAGUGUUCACUUUUAUAAUGACAAAUGAAGAAACCUGAGUUCCAGCCCUGAGAGGAAAGGCCCUGUUUUUAGGUCAGUGGGUUCUCAACUUGGGGGUCAGGACCACCCUUUCACUGGGGUCCCAAUAUCCUGCAUAUGAGGUAUUUAAAUUAUUAUUUAUUACAUAAUUACAUCUAUGUACCUUAUAUAACAAAAUUACAUCUACGAAGUAACAAUGGAAGUAAUUUAUGGUCAGGAGUCACUACAACAUGUAUUAAAGGGUCACAGCAUUAGGAAGGUAUUGUUUUAGAUGGUAUGGUGAAAGGUAAGACUCCAGAUACCCUGUUUCUUCAAAAAACACAGCAGUGCUGCCCACCAAAAAGACACCCUUUCUCGUGGUCCUAUACGGUCAACGUUGAGACUAUUUUGUCCCAAGGCACCAGUGUCCCCUUGAGUAGCUUUAGACUGGGCUGGUGUCUGGUUCUGUGGAUUCUGUGGCCUGAUCAUCCCCUCCAUGGUACCUUGGAAGUUCCUUUCAUUUGCCUUUCCGUUUGAAUUUAGACUCACUGUAUUGGUGUAUGCAAUAGGUUGGCUUACAUGGUGAUUUUCAUCUCGCUGAGUCUAGAUUAGUUUUGUGAGGUUGUACAUCCCUCAGAGUUAAGUCUGCCGAAUCCUAUGUACACUGUUUCUCCCCCCCCCCAACCUCCCCACCCGUUUACUUAGGUCUUUGACUUUUCUCUGCAGAACUAGUGUUCUAGUUUUCAGUGUAGGGUUUUUGCAUCCAUUCAUUUUAAGAAUUUUAUUCAUGUGCUAUGGUCAAUAAUGGCAUUUAAAUUUUUACUAUUCGUUCCUGAGAUAUAAAAUGUAAUUACUUGUUUUUUAUAUCUUGGUCUUGGGUCAAAUGACUCUUUUGUUGUUCUAAGGAUUAAAUAUAGGUCUUUGAGCCAGCUAGGCGAGCUUUCUACCACUGGCCAGUGGAUAGGCCAGACGUUCUUUUUACUUGAGACAGGGUCAUGCUCUGUUGUCUAGGCUGGUCUCGAAUUUUGAAUCCUCGUUGCCAAAUAGCUGGGAUUACCCAGCAGGCCCUGCUUCAAAUGAUCUUAACGAGCUCACAGAGUGGUUGUCUUGGAGUCUUGUGUUUGUUCUGUUGUCUUUGCUUGCUCACUUAUUAAACAGGUUUUUGUAGGUAGUCCAAGCUGCCCUAUAAGUCAUAGUAGUCCUGCUUCAGGCGCCUAGGUGCCUGGAUCACAGGUUCUGUGCCACGUGCAUAGCUGCUAUUGAUUUUUUUUGAAGUUCUGUGGAAUGAAACCAGGCCAUUGCCCACAGAGUGCAAGGAGCUGAGCCGCCUCUCCAACGCUCUGCAAGUUCUAGCAUGUGUGUGCUUUUGAAUGUCCUAUGGACAAAAUUAUGUCAUCUGCAUAUGACAUUAUCAUGACUACGCCUUCUCACUCAGGUUAGAACCUGUUCUUUCACAGUGUUGAACAGAAAUGGUAAUAGGCCAGGUUUGACCACAAGCACCAACCACAAAAAGAAGAAAAACAGUGUGUGGUGGAGCCAAUUCCUGUUUUGUUUUCUGAUCUCAGUGCAGUAUCUUCAACAUUUAAAAACAAACGAACACUAACAAAACAACAAUAACAACUGGUUUUUUGUUUUGUUUUGUUUUUCUCUGUAUAGCUCUGGCUGUCCUGGAACUCACUUUAUAGACCAGGCUGGCCUCAAACUCACAGAGAGAGAGACCCACCUGCCCUGGAUUAUUGACUGCUGGGACUAAAGGCAUGUGCCAAGCACAGCCUGUCUUCAAAAACAUCUUACAUUUUUAACCAUUUGUUUGCAUGUGCAUGGCCCAGUGCAUGAGAGCCAUGCCCCGUGUGUGGAGGUCUGAGGGCAGCUCUCAGGAGUCAGUUUCCACCUUCCACCUUCUUGGUUUUGCUUCACCUCUCUAGUACUCUAGGCUAACUACCGAAGAGCUUCUGGACAAUGCUUCCCUCUACCGCCCAUCUCCCUGUGGGACCAUUGGAUUACACGUGGGUUUUUCACACGGGCUGGGGAAUUGAACUUGGGUCGUCAGGCUUGCUCUGCGAGAACUUUCCCCUGCCGUGCCUAUCCCAGGGCCUGUCCUCCCUACCUAAUUGCUAAGUAUGUUUUAUAUAGAUUUGCUACAGACAUUCUUGAUUAGAUUUAGGAAAUUCCAAAGGGUUUUAACCACGUCCACAUAUAGAAGGCGUUGGUGGGACGGACAGAGAAAGGCAGGAGUGAGGUGUGCCAGAGGAAUUAUGAGCCAGGCUAGAGCUGCCUCUUCAUGUUCACAGAAUUUCUAGAUUCUUCUCUGCCCUCUGCUGUUCCAGACAAACCCUGAUCAUUUGAACUCCAUUCCACCUCUGGCCAGCUCAUCCCCUCAAUAACUCGUGCACCCGGUGCUUCCCACUUCAGGGAGGUCUUGUGUGACUCUCCUGAGCCUCUUCACUCUGAUUCACCCUCCGUCACCAAAGCCCCUGUGCUUCUGUUCCAUCCUGGGCGCUGCCUGUCAGACCUCUCUACAAGCUUCUCAUCUGGGGCUACCGUUUCCUGUCUCUGUAACCCUGUGGUUCCCAUCAGCUCCUGCUCUGUGAACUCACACAACUGGGCACUGCCUUGCUCUGUUCUGGGCCUGACAUCAGGCUGGACCUGGGCAUAGAAUACGGCCAGCGACCUUUUUGAAUUAGAUAACCAGGAAAGCACUCUCACAAAUGGGUCAAAGUUCAAAUUUAGUGAAUUUAUUUUAUAUAAUUUUAUCUUACUACUUUUUUUCCUCAAAAAGUAGUAGGUUUGUUCACAGUUUGGCUGGAGCUAGGGGGAAGGUGAAACUUUUGAGCUCCUCUGUGCCUCGCUUGCAGCACGCUGCUACUGAUUAUGGAAAUGCAGGAUAUUUGGGUCUACAAGGAACGAAAAUCUGUCAGAAUCUUGUCCUGGGAGGUGACUCUUCCUCGGAAUGGG
rnacentral:lncRNA from 1 species